UGGGGAAUAUUGCACAAUGGGCGCAAGCCUGAUGCAGCCAUGCCGCGUGUGUGAAGAAGGCCUUCGGGUUGUAAAGUACUUUCAGUCGGGAGGAAGGUGGUAAGGUUAAUAACCUUAUCAAUUGACGUUACCGACAGAAGAAGCACCGGCUAACUCCGUGCCAGCAGCCGCGGUAAUACGGAGGGUGCAAGCGUUAAUCGGAAUUACUGGGCGUAAAGCGCACGCAGGCGGUUUGUUAAGUCAGAUGUGAAAUCCCCGGGCUCAACCUGGGAACUGCAUCUGAUACUGGCAAGCUUGAGUCUCGUAGAGGGGGGUAGAAUUCCAGGUGUAGCGGUGAAAUGCGUAGAGAUCUGGAGGAAUACCGGUGGCGAAGGCGGCCCCCUGGACGAAGACUGACGCUCAGGUGCGAAAGCGUGGGGAGCAAACAGG
rnacentral:rRNA from 1 species